CGCUGGCGGCGUGCUUAACACAUGCAAGUCGAACGGGAGUAUUGAAGAAGCUUGCUUUAGAGAUACUUUAGUGGCGGACGGGUGAGUAACGCGUGAGGAGCUGUCCAAUGCAGGGGACAACAGUUGGAAACGACUGCUAAUACCCAUAAGCCGAGAGGUAAAAGGAUUUAUCCGGCAGAGGAGGUACUCGCGUCCUAUCAGCUAGUAGGUGAGGUAACGGCUCACCUAGGCGAAGACGGGUAGCCGGCCUGAGAGGGCGAACGGCCACACUGGAACUGAGAUACGGUCCAGACUCCUACGGGAGGCAGCAGGUGGGAAUAUUGGGCAAUGGGGGAACCCUGACCCAGCGACGCCGCGUGGGUGAAGAAAUCCUUCGGGAUGUAAAGCCCUGUUGUAUGGGAAGAGCGGAAGACGGUACCAUACGAGGAAGCCCCGGCAAACUACGUG
rnacentral:rRNA from 1 species